rnacentral:rRNA from 1 species
GACGAACGCUGGCGGCGUGCUUAACACAUGCAAGUCGAACGGACAGGCCCUGCUUUUGUGGGGUUCUCGAGUGGCGAACGGGUGAGUAACACGUGAGUAAACUGCCCUUGACUUUGGGAUAACUUCAGGAAACUGGGGCUAAUACCGGAUAGGAGCUCCUGCUGCAUGUUGUGGUUUGGUAAGUUUCGGCGGUUGGGGAUGGACUCGCGGCUUAUCCGCUUGUUGGUGGGGUAGUGGCUUACCAAGGUUUUGACGGGUAGCCGGCCUGGGAGGGUGACCGGCGACAUUGGGACUGAGAUACGGCGCAGACUCCUACGGGAGGCAGCAGGGGGGAAUAUUGCACAAUGGGCGGAAGCCUGAUGCAGCAACGCCGCGUGCGGGAUGACGGCCUUCGGGUUGUAAACCGCUUUCGCAUGUGACGAAGCGUGAGUGACGGUAAUGGGUAAAGAAGCACCGGCUAACUACGUG